AUUGAACGCUGGCGGCAGGCCUAACACAUGCAAGUCGAGCGGAUGAGAGGAGCUUGCUUCUCGAUUCAGCGGCGGACGGGUGAGUAAUGCCUAGGAAUCUGCCUGGUAGUGGGGGACAACGUUUCGAAAGGAACGCUAAUACCGCAUACGUCCUACGGGAGAAAGCAGGGGACCUUCGGGCCUUGCGCUAUCAGAUGAGCCUAGGUCGGAUUAGCUAGUUGGUGAGGUAAUGGCUCACCAAGGCGACGAUCCGUAACUGGUCUGAGAGGAUGAGCAGUCACACUGGAACUGUGACACGUCCCAGCCUCCUACGGGAGGCAGCAGUGGGGAAUGUUGGACAAUGGGCGCAAGCCUGAUUCAGCCAUGCCGCGUGUGUGAAGAAGGUCUUCGGAUUGUAAAGCACUUUAAGUUGGGAGGAAGGGUUGUAGAUUAAUACUCUGCAAUUUUGACGUUACCGACAGAAUAAGCACCGGCUAACUCUGUGCCAGCCGCCGCAGUAAGAC
rnacentral:rRNA from 1 species